ensembl:miRNA
CGUGGUGCAGUGUUGUUCUUUCCCCGCCAAUAUUGCACUCGUCCCGGCCUCC